rnacentral:lncRNA from 1 species
AUGCAAAAAAGGAAUAAAGCUGUUAGUUUUUAGGCCGUUGUAAAUUAAUUGAGCCUAAUUUAAUUGAUCCCAACCCGUCAAACCCGGCCCCAGUAGCCCAAGAACCGGUCCAAUUAGGUGCCUUAGUAAACGACGUCGUUCCCAGUCUUUCAAUCCUGGCCGUUUAUCUUGAUCCAUCCAACGACCAGGAACUUCCCCCUCUUUGACAUUAAUAUGUCCGAAAAUAAUGAGAGAGCAUUCAGUUCCAAAUACUCCUUCAUCUCCGUUUCUCUCUCAAGAAAAGGUCAACCCUAGUUCGCCAUUUCCGGCCAACGAGAAGGCUCCAGCCACCAUCAAAGUUCAACCAAGCCACCGUCGUUCACCCCCAAGUCAAAACCAACCUCUAGUUCUCAUCAAAUCCACACCAAGUCGGGCCAGUUCUAAUCAGAAGUUGAAGGGAAGAAGUCUCUCAGUGCAUUCGACUUCUUAGGAAACGAUUAGGCCUGAAAUUGAUAUUAUUUGUUAGUUUUCAAGAAGAACCUGCGACCAAUAUCAAUCUCGGGUCGAAUCGAAGAUAUCGGAGCUUUUAUUCGAAAGCUGAAUUUAGUAAGUGCUUCUUUCUUUAGUUUUUAAUUUGUUUCAUCGUUUGCUUAGUUCAAUCGAGCAUAAAUUAAAGUUGUGUUCAUCUUUGUGAUUGUUAAAAUCGAUAAGUUAAGUUGUCUUAAGCCAGUUCUUAGUCUUUUGUUUAAAUUAUGGUUUAUUUUCGAUUCGUUGUUAGUUUUGUCUCUCAAUCAUUAAUUAGUCGUUAGCUUAAUUAAUCUUCUCGUUUGUCUCAAUAAGAUACUGAUUUUGACUUUGUUUUGAUUUUGGCUGUUUGUUCUUCUGGAUUGAAUUUGGGUAGUUUGUUUUGUUUGUGAGAUUGGUUAUAGAUGAUUAGAUAACCAUAGUUUAGAUAGACUGGGGUAAUGGCUUGUUGUGGUUAAGGGAGUGUUAGUAAUUGCAAGGCUGUCUAGGGGUGUUUUGGUAAUUGGAGGAAGGGAAUAUUUUCUGUUGUAGAAGAUACGGCUGGAAUGGCAUGUGAGGGUGCAGAUAUUUUGAGGGUAAGGGUAGUUUGGGGUUUGUCUUGUUCAAAGAGUGCCCUAGGAUAUUCUAUAAUAUGGUUUUAAUGUAAAUUUCAGCUAACUUAAGACACUAGAUGGAAUUACAUGUGAGUGUGCAGAUAUUUUGAGGGAAAGGGUAGUUUGGGGUUUGUCUUGUUCAAAGAGUGCCUUAGGAUCUUCUAGAAUAGGGUUUUAGUGUAAAUUUCAGCUAACUUAAGACACUAGCUUGGGUAGUAAGUCAAUGAAUAAAGGGUUUAAAGCAAAAUAGUGAUGGACUAAAGAAAAAAAAAAGUCAAAAAUCUGAUCCUUUAUCCACUAGUGCCUAUAUAUUGGAAUUUUCAUGCUUGGGAAGGGGUCCUUCUGGAGCAUUUUUCCUCAGCCAUCUUAUUAUACAAUUAACUCCUAAAUACUCUCUCUACUUCAGUUAUUUUAAUUUUUGAAUUCCAGAAAACCAAAACAAAAACACAAAAAAAAACUCAAAAACAAAGCAUAAAAAGGAAAAUAUAGUAUGAAGAUCUGAUAAAAUAGCUGAGAAAUGCACUUUUUUCCCAUUAAAAUAGCUACGGGUACUGUUUCAUUGACCAUCAUAUGCUGAUUCUGUCGAAAUUCAAUCUGUCAAGACCAUCUUAGUUUCAAUAAGGGUGAUAAUGGUUUGAAUUUGUUUUUCCUUUUGAAAUCUAGGUUGAGUUUUGAGUCAGGGGGUUGUUUCAUCAGUUUUUAGUUGAUAUUGAGGUUUAUUUGGUUGAAUCUGAAACCUGGUUUGUUGCUGUUGAGUUUAGUGCUAUUGAUUUGCUGCUGGGUAUUUGUUGCUGCAUAGAUUUGUACUCCUGCUCCUUUAACUGCUGUUGAUCACCUUUUUCCACUUUGAAUUCCAUUUUCAGGUACACAACUUGUAACAUUCUGAUGUAGAUCCAAGCUUGAAUACUAAAUACAUGAAUGAUACUUGAAAUUGCAACCUCUGUUCAUUUAAAGUAUUUAGUGAUUUAGUUCGUUUAGAUUUUGUAUGAAUAGACUUGGACUACACUAAGAUUGUUGGAACUUGUUUAGAUUAUCUGAUUGUUGUUUAGUUGAAUCAUGAUACUAUCAUUUUAUUGAAAUUUGACUGUCAAUGGGUUUAGAUUAGUUAGACUGCUUGAAUCAAUUUGGGUAGUGAAAUAAUUCUUAAUAGCCAUGAAAACUGGACUGGAAAUCGAGUUGAAUUUGACGGGUUUUCAUUCAUGAGUUAAUUUAAGUUCGUGAGUGUUUAAAAUUUAG